rnacentral:lncRNA from 1 species
GCACGACUUAGGACUAGGCCUGGGAAGCCCUGCACUUGAACUUGAAGAAGCCCAGGCCUGCUCCCUGCAAAAGUGCUGAGCCAAGCAGUGGCAUUGCUCUCCAGAGCCAGCCAGGUUGAACCAAGACUGCUGGAGGCCAGCCUGAGGUCACCUGGAGAGUGCAAGCCGCUCCAUCCUCAGCCCUGGUGCUGACUGCACCCCAGUGGCAAAG